CCUUCUACCCUGGCCCUGACUCAGUCAAUACAGUCUCCCCUCUCUGUCUGUCCUCAGUGUCUGUCCUCAGUGUCUGUCCUCAGUGUAUUAGAGCAUGUGCAUAUAAUCCCUUUUCCUGCUCUCUGGGAGUUUGCAUACAUUUCGGUCAUAAGCUACAUUUAAACUAAGAUAGUUGGUUGUAAAUGUAAGUUGGAAAGCUUGAAAAUGAAUUCCCAGCUUGCUGAGGCUUUGUACUGUAUCUUGUGCAAGCCUCCCAUUAGAGAUUUGAUUGAUCAAUUUCUUUAUCUACUAACACACCACAUCUUCCUCACAACCGACACACAACCCCCUUCCCAAACUGAGCACUCACUAACAGUAGGCUGAUAGACUAGGAUAGAUAUGGUAGGCUGAUAGACUAGGAUAGAUACAGUAGGCUGAUAAACUAGGAUAGAUACAGUAGGCUGAUAGACUAGGAUAGAUAUGGUAGGCUGAUAGACUAGGAUAGAUACAGUAGGCUGAUAGACUAGGAUAGAUAUGGUAGGCUGAUAGACUAGGAUAGAUACAGUAGGCUGAUAGACUAGGAUAGAUAUGGUAGGCUGAUAGACUAGGAUAGAUAUGGUAGGCUGAUAGACUAGGAUAGAUACAGUAGGCUGAUAGACUAGGAUAGAUACAGUAGGCUGAUAGACUAGGAUAGAUAUGGUAGGCUGAUAGACUAGGAUAGAUAUGGUAGGCUGAUAGACUAGGAUAGAUACAGUAGGUUGAUAAACUAGGAUAGAUACAGUAGGCUGAUAGACUAGGAUAGAUAUGGUAGGCUGAUAGACUAGGAUAGAUAUGGUAGGCUGAUAGACUAGGAUAGAUACAGUAGGCUGAUAGACUAGGAUAGAUACAGUAGGCUGAUAGACUAGGAUAGAUACAGUAGGUUGAUAAACUAGGAUAGAUACAGUAGGCUGAUAGACUAGGAUAGAUAUGGUAGGCUGAUAGACUAGGAUAGAUACAGUAGGCUGAUAGGCUAGGAUAGAUACAGUAGGCUGAUAGACUAGGAUAGAUAUGGUAGGCUGAUAGACUAGGAUAGAUACAGUAGGCUGAUAGACUAGGAUAGAUACAGUAGGCUGAUAAACUAGGAUAGAUAUGGUAGGCUGAUAGACUAGGAUAGAUAUGGUAGGCUGAUAGACUAGGAUAGAUACAGUAGGCUGAUAGACUAGGAUAGAUACAGUAGGCUGAUAGACUAGGAUAGAUAUGGUAGGCUGAUAGACUAGGAUAGAUACAGUAGGCUGAUAGACUAGGAUAGAUACAGUAGGCUGAUGGACUAGGAUAGAUACAGUAGGCUGAUAGACUAGGAUAGAUACAGUAGGCUGAUAGACUAGGAUAGAUACAGUAGGCUGAUAGACUAGGAUAGAUACAGUAGGUUGAUAAACUAGGAUAGAUACAGUAGGCUGAUAAACUAGGAUAGAUGCAGUAGGCUGAUAGACUAGGAUAGAUACAGUAGGCUGAUAAACUAGGAUAGAUGCAGUAGGCUGAUAGACUAGGAUAGAUACAGUAGGUUGAUAAACUAGGAUAGAUACAGUAGGCUGAUAAACUAGGAUAGAUGCAGUAGGCUGAUAGACUAGGAUAGAUACAGUAGGCUGAUAAACUAGGAUAGAUGCAGUAGGCUGAUAGACUAGGAUAGAUACAGUAGGCUGAUAAACUAGGAUAGAUACAGUAGGCUGAUAAACUAGGAUAGAUACAGUAGGUUGAUAAACUAGGAUAGAUACAGUAGGUUGAUAAACUAGGAUAGAUACAGUAGGCUGAUGGACUAGGAUAGAUACAGUAGGUUGAUAAACUAGGAUAGAUACAGUAGGUUGAUAAACUAGGAUAGAUACAGUAGGCUGAUAGACUAGGAUAGAUACAGUAGGCUGAUGGACUAGGAUAGAUACAGUAGGCUGAUAAACUAGGAUAGAUAUGGUAGGCUGAUAUAGGAUAGAUAUGGUAGGCUGAUAGACUAGGAUAGAUACAGUAGGCUGAUAGACUAGGAUAGAUACAGUAGGCUGAUGGACUAGGAUAGAUACAGUAGGCUGAUAGACUAGGAUAGAUACAGUAGGCUGAUAGACUAGGAUACAGUAGGGCUGUCUGAAAUUGCACCUUAUUCCCUACUUAGUGCACUACUUUUGACCAGUGGCAAAAGGGAAUAGGGUUCCUUUUGGAACGCACACUAGGUGUUUGAGUUGUGAUUGUGUGUUGACUUGUUUAAUCCCUGUUA